rfam:Neolentinus lepideus HHB14362 ss-1 unplaced genomic scaffold NEOLEscaffold_30, whole genome shotgun sequence.
GAACCCGUAGCUCAGAGGUAGAGCGUGUGAUUCCAGUUCUGGUAUAUCCGCAAGGUCAUCCGUUCAAUCCGGGUCGGGUUCA